rnacentral:rRNA from 1 species
AUGGAAUACCAGGGGCAGCAGGGCAACCGCGUGGACCGGUACGGCAACCCGGUGGCCGCACCUGGAGGAGCCACCGCCGUGACGGGGGCACCCGCCGGCGGGCAGCUGCAGCCCGCCAGGGAGGAGCACAAGACCCGCGGCAUACUCCAUCGGUCCAGCAGCUCCAGCUCCAGCUCGUCCGAGGACGAUGGCAUGGGUGGACGGAGGAAGAAGGGCAUCAAGGAGAAGAUCAAGGAGAAGCUUCCCGGGGCUCGCAAGCAGACUUACGGCCAGCCCGCCGCGCCCGCGGGCAUGACCGGCACCGGGGCGACCGGCGGCCCUUACUACGUGCAGCCCGCUCCGGCUGGCACUGGAGCGCACGGGACCACGGCGACGACCGGCCCCUACGGGCAGCCCGCUCCGGCUGGCAUGACCGGCACCGGGGCGCACGGAACCACGGCGACUGGUGAGAAGAAGGGCAUGAAGGACAAGAUCAUGGAGAAACUCCCGGGAGGUCACAAGAACGAGCAGCACACCAUGCCGACCGCCGGCGCCUACGGGCAGCCCGGGAUGACAGGCACCGGGGUGCAUGGGAACACCGCUCCCGGUGGUGGCUACGGCCAGCCAGGGCACGCCGGUAUGACCGGCACUGGAACGCAUGGGAACGUGACGACGGGCGGUGCUUUCGAUCAUCAAGGGCACCCCGGAGUGACCGGCACCGGAGCACACGGGACUACGGCGACCGGCGGUCCUUACAGCCAGCAAGGUCACGCCGGGGUGACAGGCACCGGCGAGAAGAAAGGUAUUAUGGGCAAGAUCAAGGAAAAGCUGCCUGGCCAGCACUAG